GGAGACGUAGCGAAGUGGCUGUAACGCGCCGCACUCGAAAUGCGGUUAUCGGGCAACCGGUACGUGGGUUCGAAUCCCACCGUCUCCGC
rnacentral:tRNA from 1 species